rnacentral:rRNA from 1 species
AGUGAACGCUGGCGGUAGGCCUAACACAUGCAAGUCGAACGGCAGCACAGUAAGAGCUUGCUCUUACGGGUGGCGAGUGGCGGACGGGUGAGGAAUACAUCGGAAUCUACUUUUUCGUGGGGGAUAACGUAGGGAAACUUACGCUAAUACCGCAUACGACCUACGGGUGAAAGCAGGGGAUCUUCGGACCUUGCGCGAUUGAAUGAGCCGAUGUCGGAUUAGCUAGUUGGCGGGGUAAAGGCCCACCAAGGCGACGAUCCGUAGCUGGUCUGAGAGGAUGAUCGGCCACACGGGAACGGAGAAACGGUCCAGACCCCUAGGGGAGGCGGCAGGGGGAAAUAUUGGACAAGGGGCGCAAGCCGAAUCCAGCCAGACCGCGGGGUGGAGGAAGGCCUUCGGGUUUUAAAGCCCUUUUGUUGGGAAAGAAAAGCAGCAGGUUAAUACCCCGCUGUUCUGACGGUACCCAAAGAAUAAGCACCGGCUAACUUCGUG